CCUACGGGAGGCUGCAGUGAGGAAUAUUGGUCAAUGGACGAGAGUCUGAACCAGCCAAGUCGCGUGCAGGAAGAAUGUCCUAUGGAUUGUAAACUGCUUUUGCAGGGGAAUAAAGUGCAUCACGUGUGAUGUUUUGUAUGUACUCUGCGAAUAAGGAUCGGCUAACUCCGUGCCAGCAGCCGCGGUAAUACGGAGGAUCCGAGCGUUAUCCGGAUUUAUUGGGUUUAAAGGGUGCGUAGGCGGGAUAAUAAGUCAGUGGUGAAAGUUUGCAGCUUAACUGUAAAAUUGCCGUUGAAACUGUUAUUCUUGAGAGUAGAUAAGGUAGGCGGAAUGUGUUGUGUAGCGGUGAAAUGCAUAGAUAUAACACAGAACCCCGAUUGCGAAGGCAGCUUACCGGGCUACAACUGACGCUGAUGCACGAAAGCGUGGGGAUCAAACAGGCUUAGAUACCCCAGUAGUC
rnacentral:rRNA from 1 species